UGUUCAGAGACCAAUUGUGUUUCAUUGCCCUUAUUCCUGCAUGGUACAAUAAGCAUAAAAUUGAAUCUGAGCAUAAUACAGAGAUACUUGUACAAUAGGCAUGAUACAAAAGGUACCUAUACAAUACUCCAUUAGCUCUCAGCACACAGUUAGCACGUGGUUAUUGCAUUAAGAUACUGAUCGACUCUGACCAUUUCAGCUGCUCCUGAUUCACUAUUAGCUCAGCACACUGUGUACAAAGUGUUAAAGCAGCAUUAUACUGAUAGACCCUUUAUUACCUUUGCAGCUGGC